UUAUAGGCUAUGAUAAGGACAGUAAUAAGAGGAAACUGCUUUUAGAGACAUAAUCAUUUGGUGUAAGAUUAUGACAGUACCUUUUAUGAAGAUCACCUUGGAGCUAGGGAUCUGAAAUAAUAGUAAGAUCCUUCGUCUGAAUACGUUACAUUCGUCAAGUGAUAAAAUAGUAAGUUAUGUUUUAAAAUUACUAUUUUAUAAUAAGGGUGGUACCGCGGUUAAUUCGUCCCUAAG
rnacentral:ncRNA from 1 species